GGAAUUCCACGUGUAGCGGUGAAAUGCGUAGAGAUGUGGAGGAACACCAGUGGCGAAGGCGACUCUCUGGUCUGUAACUGACGCUGAGGAGCGAAAGCGUGGGGAGCGAACAGGAUUAGAUACCCUGGUAGUCCACGCCGUAAACGAUGAGUGCUAAGUGUUAGGGGGUUUCCGCCCCUUAGUGCUGCAGCUAACGCAUUAAGCACUCCGCCUGGGGAGUACGGUCGCAAGACUGAAACUCAAAGGAAUUGACGGGGGCCCGCACAAGCGGUGGAGCAUGUGGUUUAAUUCGAAGCAACGCGAAGAACCUUACCAGGUCUUGACAUCCUCUGACAACCCUAGAGAUAGGGCUUUCCCUUCGGGGACAGAGUGACAGGUGGUGCAUGGUUGUCGUCAGCUCGUGUCGUGAGAUGUUGGGUUAAGUCCCGCAACGAGCGCAACCCUUGAUCUUAGUUGCCAGCAUUCAGUUGGGCACUCUAAGGUGACUGCCGGUGACAAACCGGAGGAAGGUGGGGAUGACGUCAAAUCAUCAUGCCCCUUAUGACCUGGGCUACACACGUGCUACAAUGGACAGAACAAAGGGCUGCAAGACCGCAAGGUUUAGCCAAUCCCAUAAAUCUGUUCUCAGUUCGGAUCGCAGUCUGCAACUCGACUGCGUGAAGCUGGAAUCGCUAGUAAUCGCGGAUCAGCAUGCCGCGGUG
rnacentral:rRNA from 2 species